GACGAACGCUGGCGGCGUGCUUAACACAUGCAAGUCGAACGGAAAGGCCCUGCUUUUGUGGGGUGCUCGAGUGGCGAACGGGUGAGUAACACGUGAGUAACCUGCCCUUGACUUUGGGAUAACUUCAGGAAACUGGGGCUAAUACCGGAUAGGAGCUCCCGCUGCAUGGUGGGGGUUGGAAAGUUUCGGCGGUUGGGGAUGGACUCGCGGCUUAUCAGCUUGUUGGUGGGGUAGUGGCUUACCAAGGCUUUGACGGGUAGCCGGCCUGAGAGGGUGACCGGCCACAAUGGGACUGGGAUACGGCCCGGACUCCUACGGGAGGCAGCAGUGGGGGAUAUUGCACAAUGAGCGGAAGCCUGAUGCGGCAACGCCGCGUGCGGGAUGACGGCCUUCGGGUUGUAAACCGCUUUCGCCUGUGACGAAGCGUGAAUGACGGUGAUGGGUAAAGAAGCACCGGCUAACUACGUG
rnacentral:rRNA from 1 species